rnacentral:lncRNA from 1 species
AAGUGGGUCGGAGCUGCAGGCUCGCUCUUUUCUGCCGCUCGGUGUCGGGAGAGGGAAGCCGGGCGAGCUGCUCGGCGCGGUUCGCCCGGGUCUCCGUGACUCCCGCAGAGUCCACUUAAGGUGGGUGACUCUGGUUUUCCGAAGUUCUGUAGUGUGGGGUUGUGCGCGCUGAACGGGUGACGCGCGGCGUGCGAGCCUGGGCCCGUAAAGCCUUCCAAAGAGGAGGGCGACGCCGCUGCACACCGAGGUGGAGCGCCGGGGCCCAGUGGAAGCGACUGAGCGAGCCUGCCUUCGACACGGGCCGCCCCGCCGCCUCUCCGCAGCGUCAGAACUUGCCGAAUGCCCCCCACCGCCACCGCGGAGGUUCGCUGAGCGCUCCUGGGUCGUCUGGUGGGCGUAAGCCGGGCUGUCACGGGUUCUUUUAUUCCCAUCCUCUAGGCACACCCACUUCACACAGUGACAUAUAAAUGGGCCACAGAAAGAAAGCAGCCGCAAGGUUACAGAAUACUGAGCCAAGAGCACUGAGAGAUGAAUGCAAAGAGUCACUGGAACUGGAUUUUAACGACCAGUUCCAGUCGGCAGAGCUGUCAAAGCAGAGGGUCCAGAUAGGCGGCAGUUUCACGGUGUACGGUGUCAGCUCUAGGUGUGGGAGUGGGCCACGCGUUGUCAUCACAGGCAGGGGAAGCUGCACUCUGCUGAAACCCAAUGGGGACAGGAAAUGGGAGGUUCCUCACUGUGGCAAUUUUCCUGGGCCUGAACCUGUGAUCCUCCUGCCUUAGCCUCUCAAAUUGCUGGGAUUACAGGUGUGCACCAGCAUACUUGGCUAGACUCUUUGUUUUAUUUUUAGACAGGUUCUCAUUAAGUUGCCCAGGCUGGCCUUUAACUUGUGAUCUUCCUGCCUCAGCCUCCUGAAUAGCUAGGAUUACAGGUGUGUGCCACCAUACCUGUUAGUGAGUUUUAAAUAAAAAAAGGCUUUCAAUUUCAAUAAUAAUAAUAAAAACAAAACAGGAAAGCCAUACAGUGGAAGAAAUAUUCAGAGCACCGUGCCAAAGGCCUGAUACCCAGAAUAUAUAAAGAACUUUUGCAAAUCAAUAUUAAAAAGAUUUUACUAGAAUUACACACACACACACACACACACACACGCAAUAACUACAUGAAGGAUUAUUGCCACUACUGGUAGUGUGGUAGUACAGAUUAAAACCACAAUGAGAUAUCAUUUCACCCAUUCAGCAGAGCUGAAAUAGAACUGACUACACAUAUUUGGGAAAGUUUGUACAGUAAUUGCAUCAGCUAUCUACUGUUUGUGGACGUGUAAACUAGACAACUAAUUUGAAAAAUUGCUUAGCAGUUUCUUUUAAUUUAAGCAUACAGGUUAGGGGAUGCACUCCAGUGGCAGAGCACUUGCUUAGCAUGCCCAAGGCCCUGGACUCAUCCCCAGUACUGCAAAAACAACAGAAAAGUUUAAAGAUACAGAUACUCUAGGACCUAGAAAUUGCAAUCCUAGGUAUUUUUUUUCUUUCUUUUUUUUUUUAAUAUUGAAUUGCACAGAAAAUGACUUAAUUUUUUUUUUUUUAGUUGUUAGUGGACCUUUAGUUUAUUUAUUUAUACAUGCUGCUGAGAAUCGAACCAAGUGCCUCACACAUGCCAGGCAAGUGCGCUACCACUGAGCCACAGCUCCAGUCCCCAAUCCUAGGUAUUUCUCUAUGAGAAACAAAAAGUUAUAAACAAAAAGAUUUUAUAAAAUAUAUGAAUAUUUCUAGGGCUGCUAUAGCAGUGUUGGUGGCACAACAGAGAUGGAUUUAAUGGUUCCAGGGCUAGAAGUCUGAGAUUAAAGUGUUGGCAGGGAUGUGUUCUCUCUGAAGCCUACAGGACUGUUCCCUGACUCUUCCCGCCUCUGGAAGACCCCUGGCCUUACUUCAAUCUGCUCCUUCUCCAUGUGGUACUUUCUCCUUUGAGUCUGUGUCCAAAUUUUCCUUUUCUUGUAUGCAUACAUGCCAUGAGCAAGCUGUGCCACCAACAGAAACCAAAACCAUUUGCAUUUUUCCAUAAUGUCAGAAUUUGUUGAAUAACAAUGAAUUCACAAGCUACACCACUUUCAGUGGUGGCAAUUCAACAAUACUUGAGGGUCACCUGAUAGUCAUAACCCAGGCAAACUCAAGUUCUUUUAUUCCAUUCUAAUCUAAUUUAUUUUUUUUUAAUAUUUUUUUUUUAGUUAUAGAGGGACAUGAUACAUUUUAAUCUGUUUAUUUAUUUGUGUGGUGCUGAGGUUGAACUCAGUGACUCACACAUGCUAGGCAAGCAGUCUAUCACUGACCCACAGUCACAGCCCUCCCUUUAUUUCAUUUUUAUGUGGUGCUAAGGAUCGAACCCAGUGCCUCACUCGUGCUAGGUGAGCCCUGAACCACUGAGCUACAACCCCAGCCCCCCCCAGUCUAAUUUCUAAUAACACUCAAAUCACACAUUAUAUUUCACACAAUUAUAACACACGCACACACAUUUUUAAAUAUGUCACAGACUAAAUCUGUGUUGCAGUAAUUCACUUGCAGGUCAGCAUGGGAAAAGAAAGAAGAAGCAGAGCAAGCAAAGCAGCAGCAGAAAAAAAGCCCUUUAUUGUGUACAGCAAUCUUGUUAUAGUAUUGUGAACAAAGAAGGCAGCCUUCCAACAUCAAUAAAUCAGGUCUUUCAGCUAAUUAAACAUAGCAUACAGAAGUUUUACUUUCUAAUCAGAAGUGACCCGCUUCUCAUGGCUAAUCUAUUCUCGGCCCUGAGUAUGUUGAGCUCUGCUCUUUGUUAAGAACAGAUAAUAAAAUUUUUCUUAGCGCCCUCCUAGCCCACUUGGCAGAACAUCCCGUUUGCAGGCAAGUCCUCCCAAGGACAGUAGACACCUUGUUUUCAAGCAUGUCUGCAGUUACCUUAUCUAAACCUUGAAGGAGCCUCUCGUUUGCAAGUAGGCCCUCCCAAGGACAGCAGACACCUCGUUUUCAAGCAUGUCCGCUGUUACCUAUCUAUACCUUGACAGAAUAUCCUGUUUGUAGGCAAACUCCAUCAAGGACAGGAAUAGUAACGCAGUCACAUCUGAUUCUCUGUAUUUCCCUCCUUUUGUUUUUGUAAAAGAGCCAUAGCAGAAGGAAAAGAGAGGUUUCAUGUUUCAGUUGCCUUCGCUUUUUCCAGCGUUGGAAGACUAUAUACAAAACAAAACACAAAACAAAAAUUAUUACAGUGUUACCUAAAGAAGUUGACAACAAGGUAGAGAAAUGACUUAAGGGAUAUAAAUUAGCAAUACUUGAAGACAAUUUUUGUAAAAUGUUAGAUCCUGUUAGUUCAGGUAAUGUCUUACUAAAGGUGUCCAUAAUAGUUUUUUCCAAAUUCAUAAUUUCUAAAGUUAAAUUUGAUGUCCAUUUAACCGUCUUUUAACAGUUUCCCAGGAAUCACUGGUAUUAUAUGGCACAGGAGUCACACAAAUAUGAGAAGAAUUCCAGUCACACUUCGGAACACUUCUGGUAGCCAAUAUAGUCACUUGAUCGCCAAGCCAGGAAACAGUAUGUUGUAAAUUGAUCACAUCUGUAGCCAAUUGAGAGUUUAAGUCCUUUUGUUGUUGCCAUAAUAAAUGAGCAUCUUGAUGCCAUGUUCUCACGAAAUUCGCAGUUUGAAUGUCUUGAUGUGAAGCAACUCCAGCUACUGUAGCAGUGGCAGUUACAGAAGCAACUGCAAGGAAUGAAGCUAUAACUAUUUCUAUUAAUCGUAGAGAGCGAUGUAACAAAACUUGAACAGCAUUGUACAAAUGAGUAACAGACAAUGAAUCAGAGCAAGGAUGAGUCAAAUUAACAGGCACCCACAAUUCUGUGCGAGCUUUAACAAUAACUAAAGAAUAAUUAUUAAUUUCUAUUAAUUCCCAAUUAGUUCUAUUUACACAUUGAGUAAGAUAACGGUCUAUACAUGAUAUAGUUCCCCAAGUUACAUUCCAUUCCCAGUUUCCAAUCAUAAGAGAAUAAGGGAAUUUAACACAUGCAGAAGCAAAAUAAGUCAGAUUAUUAUGUAGAUGUACUUCAAAAGGAGAGGAACGGGAUACGUCUAACGUGAAAUUUCCAGUCCAUACAGUGAGUUUCCCAGAUACUGCCCAUAAUUUCCAUAUAUCCCCUUGAAUAUUGGAAAACCUUAUAUGCUGUAACAUUGGAGGGACCAAAGCAUAAUGUUGCAUUUUAAUUGUCUCAUUACCCCAAGCAUUUAUUGUCCCAUUAUGUCAAUGCCAUCUUAAAGUACGAUUUGAUCAACUUUGUAUAAAUUCAGAAUGAUCAGGACUCCACCCAACUAUAGUGAUAUUUUGAUAUUUGACUACUGUUUUAGGGUGAUGAUUGUGACAUUUUUCCCACUUUAAAUGAGUUAAAAAUGUUUUAAAAUAUUUAGCUGAACAUAAAGGAAGAUGAGUUCUGACAAAGCAUUCUUCAGAUGAUAGCCAUGAUUGAUUAACAUACAUACUAGAGGUAUUAAAUCCUCGGGAAGAUAUCAUGACAGUAAAAACAGCAGUAGGAUAACUAUGAUAAUUAACUCCCCAACUAUUAUAAGAAAGAGAGUUGUUAUGUGCUAUAAGAGGCAAACAGAAAGAAUGAGCCCCUAUACACAAUGGGACUCCUUCAACAGCUACAGUUACAUUAGAAAUAUUAUACAGAUUUUUAUGGAAUGGAAUAUUUUUAAUUCCCCCACAUGCAGGAGGGGGGAAAAUUAGUAUUAUUAGUACACACACGAACUUUAGGUUCUCCCCAGGAAGCAUUGUGCACCAAAGGAGGGUUAGGAACAUAGGCCCAAAAAGCAGAAGAAUGAGCAGAAACUAUACUUACCUGGCAAUUAAUAACUGCAAGCAUAGCUAAUAAAAUAUUAACAGGAUUUAAAGGCUGAUUUGUCUUUUGAAGGGUUUUUUCAGCUUCUUGAGUCAACUUUUUUAUCUGUCCCCAUGUUGGGGGGUCUGCUGUUUUCGUUGCCAUUGUAGAAGUUUUUUGCAUAGUCAGCUCCUGAAAUUGUCUGACAAAUGGGUCACUCAUUCUGCAAGUUGAUAAGUCUUGAAGGUACUUAGAAAGGUGUUUUACCUGUAGAAAUAAGAGCAAAUCCCCCCCCCCCAUGUGGUGCAACAACCUAGAAAUCCAUUCUUUAUUUUCAUCCCUGUUCCACAUAGGUAUUUCCAAUUUUUAGAAAUAAUGGCUGAGAUUUAAAUGUAGAGAAAUGUUGCUGGGCUGCAGGAACCUUGGAAGUUGACCAGACAUAUAAAAAAUUUAAAGUUAGUAAAGUUUUAUGAAGUAUAUUUUGAGGUGUAUAAGCCAUAGCCAUAUUCCCCCCUUUUUAUUUUUAGUAUAUAUUUUCUUAACGUAUGAUGUGUCUUUUUUAUAAUAGCUUGACCCUGACUAUUAUAAGGUAUGCCAAAUGUAUGUGUAAUGUCAUAUUUUUGUAAAAAUGAAUGUGAUUUUUGUGAGGUAUAUGUAGGUGCAUUGUUAGUUUUAAGUUCUUAAGGAAUUCCCAUGAGAGCAAAAACAAGAUAAUAAAUGAGAAAUGAUUGCAUUAGCUUUUUUUUUUUUUAAGAUAAACUGUGGCCCAUAGAAAAUGAGUAUGAGUGUCAAUAGUAUGAUGUACAUAUCUUAGUUGUCCAAAUGACUGAAUUAUAACAACAUCAAUUUGUUAAAGAGCAAUAGAAUGGAGUCCCCUUGGAUUAACACCAGGAGGACAAUAAGGAAUAUUAAAAGGAGCACAUGAUGAACAGUUAGCUAUAAUUUCACAUGUUUGUUUUUGAGUUAUUUUGUAUUUUUUAUAAAGUCCUUUAGUGUUUGUAUGAUGUAAAGCAUGUUCUAGAUGAGCCUUUUGUAAGGGGAAUAAUAGUUGAUCAAUAUUUUGAUUUUUUUUUUUUUUUUUUAGUUAAUGGUCCUGGCAGUGUAGAAUGUGCUCUGAUAUGAGUAAAAUAUACAGAGAUUUGGCCUACUAUUUUUGUUGUUAUUUUUACAUGUAGUCAGAUAGGACAUAGAGUCUUAUCUUAGGUAAGUAGGGCUCUUUAUAAAUUUUAAGUAAAGUGUUGUAGUUUUAAAGUUUAUUUUUGUUUUUAUUAAAUAUUAGAUUAAAAAUUUUAUAUAAAUAAUUGUUUAAGUUUAUUUGAGUAAAAACUAACACAAUAUGAUAAUACAUCUAAAACAUGUAAUAAAGAAAGGCUGAAAGCUUUUAGCUUUUUGUAGAAAAAUAGAAAAAUGUCUUUGUUUUUUAUAAUAUUAACCUUUAUGUAGAUUAGGCUCUCAUUAACUAAAAAAUACAUUUAAAUUGUACCUCAGUGUAAAAAAUAACACAAAACUUUAUAUAUCUUAUUGAUAAUAGGCCCAGUUAUAGAAAUUAAAUGAUAUAAAUAAAUUUCUAAUAUGUCAUUUUUAUAAGCCUAAAAUUACCAUGUAACCUUUUGGAGAAUACCAGCUUGAUAUAAUUUUUUUAAAGUUUCUAUCUUAAUGACAUAUACCUGGAAAAUAUGAACAAAUUUAAUAUACAAAGAAGAGUAAUAGUACCAUAAUUACUAUUGAUGUUUUUAUAUUAAUUAAGUUUAGCUCUAAAAGAAAUAACAUAUUAGAAUAUUGCAAAAUAAUAGUUGUUGUUUAACCAUAGUUGUAUAAUCUUUAAUUUCUUCAAGAUUAUUUGCUUAAAAAACUUACAUAUAUAGCCAACAUACAUAGACCUUCUUUAUCACUUGCUUAAACCUAUAUAGCCAACAUACAUAGACCUUCUUUAUCAUUUGCUUAAACCCUUUUAUUUACUCACUUCUAGGAACACAUUUUUUUUUUAUUAAAUCCAUAACUAGAACCUUCUAAUUUUUUUUAACCUCUUCUUUAUUCACACCUUGAAAUAAUCCUUGUAAAUUUUUGAAUUUAAGUAAAUUAUUCCAUUUUAAUAAGAGAUAUUUUGUUAUUUGUAGUACACAAUUAAUCACAUUUGUUUACCAUACUAUGAAAAUAUAGUGUCUAAAUAUUAGGGAUGAUAAAGUAACCAUUUAUUUAUUUAUUUUUAUUAUUUAUCAACUUAAAAAAUUAUUAAUGUUAUGUAAUUUAAGGAGUUAAAAGUAUUUAAUGGUAUAUUUAACAUUUAGCAUAUUAUCCUUGUAAAUUAACCCGAUAUUUAACAAAAGUACUCAUAAACAAGUAAUCUUAUGUCUAAUUAAUUUACUUAUUUUAUCAAAACAUUAGACAAGUAUAAUGAACAGUCUUAGCCAUUUGUUGUUGUUGUUGUUGAAGAAAAGUCCUAGAAUCAGAGCAUAUCAGUCAUUAACAUGUUAAAGACAUCUUAUUUUUAUUUGUUUACCCAAUUUAAAUUGAACCAUUUAAAUCAGUGAAUUACAAAUAUUUGAAUCUAUUUUUUUUUUAAUUUUUUAUGAGCGCUCUUUACAUAUAUAUCAAUCUUUAUAUCAUGUACAUGAUAUAUGGACAUACGCACAAACAGACAUACAACACAUAAUACAAAUGUGUACACAUAACACAAUAAAGGCCUUGUAGCUAUUUUAGGUGAAAUUUCCAUUGUAAUGUUUAAAUAUUUCACAGUUGAUCAAAAAUAGAACUGAUCAGAAAAACAUUAACUUAGGUCUGUAGGAUCAAAAUUAUGAGCUCAAAAAAUACAGAAUCUAGGAAAAAGCAAGAGUCCUAGAAAAAAUGAUCAGCCGGUAAUUAGAAAGUAUCAUAAAAUUUAUUUAUCUAUUUAUUUUAUUUAUUUAUUUAUCAUUAUUAUUUUUUUACAAUCCCUUUUAAAAUGACCUGCUUUUCCACAAUUGAAACAAGUUCCUGAUUUAUUGGGUUUAAGGGCUCCAGCCAUGGCUGUAGCAAAAACAGAAGCUUGAUGUUCAAUUCUUCCCACUCCAGCAUAAGCUCUCACAUAUUCACUCAAUGAGGCGUUUUGCCCUUUUAAUGGCCCCAAAAUACGCUUACAUUCAGGAUUAGCAUUUUCAAAUGCCAAUGUUUCCAAUAAUACCUUUGCUAUUUGAUCUUGAUUUAUUGCCCUCAUUACAGCAGUACGCAGUCUGGCAAGAAAAUCAGUAUAAGGUUCAGUAGCCCCUUGUACAGUUUUAGUAAAGGAAGGUUGUGCUUGACCAAUGGGUAUCACAUGUCUCCAAGCUCUUAAGAAAACCUGUCGAACUUGUUGAAGAUCUGGAUCUGUAUAUUGAGCCUGCUCUCUAUAGGCACGGUAAUUACCCUCCCCCAUUAACUUAUCCUCCAUAGGUCCCGGGGGAUUUUGAGCCUCAUUCUCUCUAGCUUGUUUUUGUGCCUCAUCUUCCUAUCAACUUCUCAAUUGUAGCCACUGAGAUCCCUCCAAAACUGUUUUGGCUAAUGCCUCCCAAUCCAAAGGAAUAAGUAGUUUAGAAGUUCCUAAAUUUUCUAACAUACCUAACACAAAAGGAGACUGAGGGCCAUAUUGAGAGACUGCAGCUUUUAAAUCCUUAAUAAACUUGUAUUCCACUGCAGUAUAGUGAACAUCAAUCAUUUGGGGAUUUUGAAGGUUUUGUUGUCUAGUUAUAGGAAACAAAAGUGGUGGAUCAACAAUUCCACCAGGGGGAUCUGCAAGAUCAUCAUCAUCAUGUAUCAUAGUAAGAGGAAAUGAAAAACGUUGUUGUUCUCUACCCACAUCAACUCUAUACCUUGUCACUGGAAAGAGAGAAGCAUUAGAAGAAGUAGUAGGUUUAAGAGAAGACCUUUGCUUUUUUAAUUUCAUUUUUUCUACAAAGGCUUCCAUAAUUUCUUUCAUACUGGAGUCACUAUCUGAACUUUCUGAAUCUUCCUCAUCACCCAGAUCUGAUUUAGGAGAGUCAUCUAUAGUAUCACAAAUAUCUUUCUUGGGCUCCGAUUUGUUAACCUUAUUAUCAGAUUCUGAUGUAUUAACUUGACUUUCACAAAGAGAGCCCUUAUCAUUAUUGCUUUCUAAUAAUUGUAAUGCCUGAGUAAUAGCAUUACACAAUGUCCAAAUCUUUAAAGAAAUAACAUUUCCAGCCUGAUGCUGCUUACGGAGCUCUUUCUGAACCAAUUUCCAUUCCCCUAAAUUUAACUGGACCUUAGUUUGAUACUGGAACCAGUGACAAUGACAUUCUAUAAUUUUAAAUAACUCCUUGAGUCUUUUAUGAGAUGUUUUCACACCUAUGGAAUAUAAUAAUCCUUGUAGUAACUCCACAUAUUGUUCCUUUAAGGACUGGGAGUUUCCCAUGUUAGUUCUGAAAGUCCCCCUAAAGUUUCUUUCAACCUGGGGCUAUACCUUUCGAUAUUUGUUAGUUUUGAAAGUCCCCCUAAAGUUUCUUUCAACCUGGGGCGAUACCUUUCGAUAUUUGUUAGUUCUGAAAGUCCCCCUAAAGUUUCUUUCAACCUGGGGCGAUACCUUUUGAUAUUUUGUUAAUCCCGAAAGUCCCCCUUUCGUUUUCUUAACCUGGGGUGCUUACCCUUUCGGUGCUGGAUCCUGCCGACUACGCCAAAUGUUGCAGUAAUUCACUUGCAGGUCAGCAUGGGAAAAGAAAGAAAGAAGCAGAGCAAGCAAAGCAGCAGCAGAAAAAAAGUCCUUUAUUGUGUACAGCAAUCUUUUUAUAGUAUUGUGAACAAAGAAGGCAGCCUUCCAACAUCAAUAAAUCAGGUCUUUCAGCUAAUUAAACAUAGCAUACAGAAGUUUUACUUUCUAAUCAGAAGUGAC